GUCAACUACAGGUAGGCAGAGCUGGUCCGUAAUGUAUGGUCUGAGGAUCCAGGGUCAUGUGCAGGUAGGCAGAGCUGGCUGGGUAGGUAUAGUUUGAGGACCCAGGGUCAUGUGCAGGUAGGCAGAGCUGGUCCAUAAUGUGUGGUCUGAGGAUCCAGGGUCAUGUGCAGGUAGGCGGAGCUGGCUGGGUAGGUAUAGUUUGAGGACCCAGGGUCAUGUGCAGGUAGGCAGAGCUGUCUGCUCAGUAUGGCUUGGGGACCGAAGUCAAGCACAGGUAGGGAAAGCCUGUGCUAGGUACACUGUAAGAAGCUGGGGUCAUGUACAGGUAGGCAGAACUGUUCCACUGGGUAUGGUCUCAGGACCUGGAAUCAAGCACAGGUAGGCGGAAGGUCUGAGGAGAUCGAGUCGUGCACAGGUAAGCAGAGCUGGCUUGCACAAGGAGCCAGGGUGAAGAACAGGUAGGUAGAUGUGGUCUAGGGAUGGUCUGAAGGUCCAGGGCCAUGAACAAGUAGGCAGGUAGGGUAUGGUUAGGUAUGGUCAAGUGAUCCAGGGCCACGCAGAGGAAGGUAGAACUGGUCCGCUAAGCAUAGUCCAAGCAUCAAGAGCCAAGCACAGGUAAGGGUGAGCACAGGUGCAGCGCUAGGAGCCCGGGUGGAGAACAGGUGAUAGAGGCGGCCCACGCGUGCAGCCUGAGGGACCAGGGACACUCAGGGGGCAGAGCCUGGGCUCUUUGGUAUGGUCUGAGGAUGCAGGGCCAAGCGCAGGUAGGCAGAGUUGGUCUGUCAGGUAUGGUCUGAGAGUCCAGAAUUGUGUACAGGUGAGCAGAGCUGGUCCGCCAAGUACAGCCUAAGGAUCCAGGGUCGUGUACAGGUAGGCAGAACUGUCCGCUGGAUACGGGCUGAGGACUCCAGCAGAGGUAGGCAGAGUUGGCCCACACGGUGUGUCGCAAGGAGCCAGGGUCAAGGGCACAGGUAAGCAGAGCUGGUCCACUGGGCACAGCACAAGGACUCAGGGUCUUGUACAGGUAGGCGGAACUGGUCUGUCAGGUAUGGUUGUGUACAGGUAGGCAGAGGUGUCUGGUUAGAUACGGUCUGAGGAGCCUGGGUCAGAGGCAGGUAGGCAAAGCUGGUCUGCUAGGUACAGCAUAAGAAGCUGGUGUCGUGUACAGGUAGGCAGAACUGUUGCGCUGGGUAUGGUCUGAGGACCCAGAAUCAAGCACAGGUAGGCAGAGCUAAUCCACUAGGUAAGAUCUGAGGAGAUAGAGUCACCUGCAGGUAAGCUGAGCUGGUUUGCACAAGGAGCCAGGGUCAAGUACAGGUAGAUAGAGCUGGCCCGCUUGGUACAGCCUCGGAACCCAGGGUCACGUACAGGUAGGCAAAGCUGGUCUAUAAGAUGUGUUCUGAGGAGCCAGGGUCGUGGUCAGGUGGGUGGAACUGGUUCAUAAUGUAUGGUCUGAGGAGCCAGGGUCAAGCACAGGUAGGCAAAGCUGGGCUCUCAGGUAUGAUCUGAAGGUCCAGGUUGUAUCCAGGUAGGCAGGACUGGUCCAUUAGGUGUAGCACAUGAAUCCAGGGUCAUGUACAUCCUGGUGCCCUAGAUAUGGUCUGACAGUCCAGGGUCAUGUACAGGUAGGCAGAGCUGGCCCAGCAAGUGUGUUCUGAGGAGCCUGGGUCAGAGGCAGGUACGCAGAUCUGGUUUGGUAGGUAUGGCAAAAGGAGCCAGGGUCAAGUACAGGUAGGUAGAGGUGGCCCGCUAGGUGCGGACUCAGGGUCAUGUACAGGUAGGCAGAGCUGGUCUGUAAGACGUGGUCUGAUGAACCAGGGUCAAGUACAGGUAGGUAGAGGUGGCCCGCUAGGUGCGGACUCAGGGUCAUGUACAGGUAGGCAGAGCUGGUCCAUAAGACGUGGUCUGAUGAACCAGGGUCAAGUACAGGUAAGCUGAACUGGUCUACCAAGUGCAAUCUGAGGACCCAGGGUCAAGUAUAGGUAGGCAAGGCUCAUCUGCCAGGUAUAGACUGGAUCCAGGGUGAUGUUUGUGUAGGCUGAGGUGGUCUACUAAGUAUGGUCUGAGGAGACGGUCACAUUCAGGUAGGCAGAAUUGUUGUCGGUAUGACCUGAGGACUCAAGAGUUAAACCCAGGUAAGCAGAACUGGUUCACAGGGCACAGCACGAGGAGCCAGGGUCAUAUACAGGUGGGUAAAGUCUGUCGGGUACGGUCUGAAGGUCCAGGGUUAUGUACAGGUAGGCAGAGAUAGUCCAUGGGGUACUGCACAUGAAGCCAGGGUCGUGUACGGUAGGCAGAGCUGGUCCCCUAGGUAUGAUUGGAGGAUCCAGGGUCGUGUACGGUAGGCAGAGCUGGUCCCCUAGGUAUGAUUGGAGGAUCCAGGGUCGUGUAUGGUAGGCAGAGCUGGUCCCCUAGGUAUGAUUGGAGGAUCCAGGGUCAUGUACAGGUAGGCAGAGCUGGCCCAGCAAGUGUGUUCUGAGGAGCCCAGGUCAGGCAGGAAGGCAAAGCUGGUCUGCCAAGUGUAGUCUUGAGAAGGCCUAAGGAUCAAGGUCACGUGAGCAGAGGUAUAAUAUAAACAUGAUCUUAGGUGGGUUUUUGCCCCCAGGGUUCAGGUACAAGUUGGCAUCCCUGGACUUGUUAGAGGAAAUGAGUGGGGCAAGGUCUAGCUCAGAAAUAUAUAAUUGGUGUGACUGGUAAGGCCUGAGAAGGUGACUCAGACACAGGUGGGACCCUCAGUGGUAGGAGCAGGCUUGAACACAGAUAGGUAGAUGUGACUCCCUCAGGUGUUGGAUUCAGGCAGAGGUAUAUACCCCUGGUCUUUUGGUGAUGGCUGAAGGACCAGGGUUAAGCCUGGAUUGGUAGAGUGACUUCUGCUCAGGCAUUGGGGUCUUCUGCAGGUAGGUGGAACUCUGGGGUCAUAGGUGAUUUGGGGGCUCUUGGUUGGACAUGAGUAGGUGGAGGUGACUCAAGCAAGGACUUUGGGGUCAGACAUAUGUAUGCUUGGGUCUUGCAGGUGAAAUCCUUGGAGCAUGAUUCUGACCCAGGUCAUAGAGGUUAGGCCUGGGGUUAAUCACAGGUAGAACCACAGCUCUUAGAGGUGGACUGCUGAGCACAGAUAUGCAGAGAUGUUUGCGUCUGAUGAGGUCUGAGACUCCCUGCUGAGGUUUUGAUGCCCAGGUUAAGCAGGGACUGAUACAGGGACUGAUCGGAUCUCUUGGUGAGAUUCCUUGGGAAGGUGUGAGGAGUCGAGUUGGGCUCAAGGAGGUGGCUUGGGUCUGUUGGUUGAGAUGUAAGAGGUCACAGUUAGGCACAGACAGGUGUGUGAAGCCUGGUUCAUGAGCUGGACUGUCUGGAGCCUGUCUCUGACAGGUAUAUAACCUUGUGGUAUGAGGUACUGGAGUCAGACAUAGGUAGGCGGAGUUAACCUCACAGGUGAAGCCACUGUAUCAUUGCCCAGGAUUUCUUUGUGGGCCUGGCUUUGUCAAUGAGUCCGUGGAUCAGGGUCACAUGGGCAGAAGUAUAUAAACAUGAUCUUAGGUGGGUGUUUGCCCCCAGGGUUCAGGUACAAGUUGGCAUCCCUGGACUUGUUAGAUGAAAUGAAUGGGGCAAGAUCUAGCCUAGAAAUACAUAAUUGGUGUGAUUGGUAAGGCCUGAGAAGGUGACUCAGACACAGGUGGGGCCCUCAGUGGUAGGAUCGAUCAGGACAUUUAAGUGGGUAGCGUGGACUGUCAUCGAGGGAAAGCCGGAGUGAUCGUAGGUAUGUGUACUUAGGUCUGCCUGGGGAGGUCUGUGGAGCCCUUGGGUUCAGGUAGGAGAGGCAGAAUAUGCUGAGCCACGUCAGCCACCUGUCCUUAGCACCCUGGUCCAGUGUGAUGGGCAGUGUUGCGGAGGCCAGGGGAUCUGUAACCAGUCCGGGGUGUAGUCUGUCGCACUGGGGUCUGGUUGGCAGGGUCUGCACUAACCAAGUAUGGAAAGAGACUGGAUUAUACCUGGUUGGAGAAGGUGAGGUCUGAGGCUAGUGAGGCUCAGAACUUAGAACUGACUGAGGUGCUAUAUCUUUAAGGUGUGUUUUGAACUCACUGCAGGUAAAGGUGAGGUCUAGUGAUCUGUGUCUGCAGCUUGAGGUUUCAGAGGCUCAAGUCAGAUACUGGCUUUGCUGGGCUCUUCCCAAAAGUCAGGUCUGAGACCCUGCCCUGAGCCAAGGUCAGCAGCCUGGAAUCUGUCAGUCUGAGCCCUGGCCGUCUGUUCAGUCCAGUUUCUGGGUUUGAGUCUAUUGGGUGAGAUCUGAGAGCCUCUGUCAGGCAUAGUGUGGUCUGUGGGCCUGACACUGUUGGGUCAGGUUCCCCCAAACCCAGACCCUUUCUAAGUAAAGAACCCCAUCAUAUUCCUCUUUAUUACCCAAGCCAGAAACGUCUGAUCCUCUCACUCCUGAUCCUCUCAUUCUUCCAGUUCAUCCUGUUUAACUGGACUUCCUGAAUCAGUGCUGUGCAUCCGCACCACCCCCAUCCAGGGUAGCAUCGCUCUUGGGAUGACCACUGGGGCUCCCGCGCGGUUUCCUGCUUCCCUUCUCCCCUCACCCACAGACUUGGUUCUCCAUCCUUGCCCCUCAGCUUCUGCCCACCAGUUUAUCACUCCUUCCUUCAUCUUCAACACUGUGCUGCCCAUUUUCCUGCCCAGCCUUUCUCAGUGGGCUUUCAGGAGAGAAUUAAAUCCUAAUGCCCCAAGGCAGCCAUUGGAUAUAAUGAAUUAGCAUCCCUCUUUUGCAUCUGGAAGGAUGCUAGCCUUGGACCAACCUUGGGAAUAUGGAGAAACUAAGUCCCAUUCUUCACAUCCAGGCUGAAGCACCUUCAGAGUCCUUUUAUUAUUGGUUUCAGUAUUAUAUUCCUGUCUUCUAAGCACUUUAUUCUCAUUUUCACAUUUAUUGGCAUGGUUGUUUCAUUUAUAUCUUUCACACCCAUGGAUUGUUGGCAUUGCCUAUGCUAGGAACUUGAUGGGUACUCCAUAAAUAGUUGUUGGAAAGAUGUGAUUGGAGCUCUGAGGAUUCCGAUGGUACAAAGUGGAAUCUGCAGUGUGGCAUGGGAGGACACAGUGUGGAUGGUAGGUCUCGGUCUGUCUUGGGCUGAUGCUGAAGAUCAGUCAAGCCCAGGUAUGAGCUACUGGGCCUGUCAGUGUCCCAGGAAGCAGGGCUGGCACAGGUAGGAGGAGCUGUGUCUGUCAGUACAUCCUGGGAGUCGGGGAGGGGCUCAGGUACAAGGCACUGGAUCUCCUGUCAGAAGAGGCAAGGCCAGCCCCAGGUAUGAGGCAUUGGGUCUGAGGAGCAGGGGCCACAGUCAGGUAGGAGGUGCUGGGUUUUUCAUUGUUCAGGGUAGCAUGGGCGCAGGUAGAAGGUGCUGGCUCUGUUAGUGUUUACAGAGGCUGGACACAGGUAUGAGUCCCUGGUUCUGUUGAUGUCCUAGGAGGCAUGACCAGACACAGGUAUGGGAUUCUGAUUUGUCAAGUGUCCAAGGAGGUGGGCUCGGCACUGGAUCUGCUGGUGUCUGAGGAGGCCGGACCUGGCUCAACUGUGAGGCCCUGGGUCUGUCGGUGUCUGAGGAGGCUGGACCUGUGCAGGUAUGAGGCCCGGGUCUGUCCGUGUCUGGUGAGGCUGGACCUGUGCAGGUAUGAGGCCCGGGUCUGUCGGUGUCUGAGGAGGGUGGACCUGUGCAGGUAUGAGGCCCGGGUCUGUCCCUGUCUGGUGAGGCUGGACCUGUGCGGGUAUGAGGCCCGGGUCUGUCUGUGUCUGGUGAGGCUGGACCUGUGCAGGUAUGAGGCCUGGGUCUGUCAGUGCCUGAGGAGGCUGGACCUGUGCAGGUAUGAGGCCUUGGGUCUGUUGCAUCUGAGGAGGCUGGACCUGUGCAGGUAUGAGGCCCGGGUCUGUCAGUGUCUGAGGAGGCUGGACCUGUGCAAGUAUGAGGCCCAGGUCUGUCGGUGUCUGAGGAGGCUGGACCUGUGCAGGUUUGAGGCCCAGGUCUGUUGGUGUCUGAGGAGGCUGGACCUGUGCAGGUAUGAGGCCCGGGUCUGUCGGUGUGUGAGGAGGCUGGACCUGUGCAGGUAUGAGGCCCGGGUCUGUCGGUGUCUGGUGAGGCUGGACCUGUGCAGGUAUGAGGCCCGGGUCUGUCCAUGUCUGGUGAGGCUGGACCUGUGCAGGUAUGAGGCCCGGGUCUGUCGGUGUGUGAGGAGGCUGGACCUGUGCAGGUAUGAGGCCCGGGUCUGUCGGUGUCUGGAGAGGCUGGAUCUGUGCAGGUAUGAGGCCCGGGGCUAUCGGUGUGUGAGGAGGCUGGACCUGUGCAGGUAUGAGGCCUUGGGUCUGUUGCAUCUGAGGAGGCUGGACCUGUGCAGGUAUGAGGCCUGGGUCUGUCAGUGUCUGAGGAGGCUGGACCUGUGCAGGUAUGAGGCCCAGGUCUGUCAGUGUCUGAAGAGGCUGGACCUGUGCAGGUUUGAGGCCCGGGUCUGUCGGUGUCUGAGGAGGCUGGACCUGUGCAGGUAUGAGGCCCUGGUCUAUUGGUGUCUGAGGAGGCUGGAGCUGGUUCAGGUAUUAGGCCCAGGUCUGUCAGUGUCUGAGGAGGCUGGAGCUGGUUCAGGUAUUAGGCCCAGGUCUGUCAGUGUCUGAGGAGGCUGGAGCUGGUUCAGGUAUGAGGCCCAGGUCUGUCGGUGUCUGGGGAGGCUGGACCAGCCACGGUAAGGUCUUGGGUCGAGUCUGUGGCUCUGGUCGGUCCAUGUGUAGUUAGUGCUGUUGGUCAGCCCAAUAGCUGCCAGCACCUGGCUUGCUGUCUUGCUUCUCAGAGGUGGGUUGGGCCAGGCUCUCGGAAGAGCAUGUGGAAGAGCGUGGCUCCCGGGGACAAGUUCCCUGGCAGGAGGGAGGGGGGCGGGGUGUGCCAACGCCUCCUCAGUGCCUGUUCCUGUCUC